rnacentral:piRNA from 1 species
UGAUACGUCUUACGAAUUGCUGGACUGCCUC